rnacentral:rRNA from 1 species
UACGAAGGGGGCUAGCGUUGCUCGGAAUGACUGGGCGUAAAGGGCGCGCAGGCGGCUCAUUUUGUCAGGCGUGAAAGCCCCGGGCUUAACCUGGGAACUGCGUUUGAUACGGAUGGGCUAGAGUUCGGGAGAGGAGAGUGGAAUUCCCAGUGUAGAGGUGAAAUUCGUAGAUAUUCGCGAGAACACCAGUGGCGAAGGCGGCUCACGUGGCCCGAUACCUGACGCUGAGGCACGAAAGCGUGGGGAGCAAACAGGG